CUAAAUAUAAUGGAGAUACUUGUAGGGAUGGUAAGCAGUGUUUUGGGGUCCUGAUUUUGAGAUUGUUCAAGAGCUCUCAUAUCGAAAGCCAAGCCUGAGGACCCAAAUCAUUAUUUCUUCUAUAGAAAAGAUGCCUGAUUUCCCAUGGUGCUCGGGCCAAUGAUGUCACUACCUAAAGGAAGAUGAUGGAGAGGCCCAGACUCCAGACUCUUGUGAUACUCUCUUGAAGGCUAUGGAGCCUUUAGGAUGUGGGUCCCUGAUGGCAGGAGUAAAAUCAGGAGAGGGCUGUUUUCCAGCACCAUGCCAUUCCCUGUGAGCUGCAGCAAGAUGGGAGAACAAAAGGAAGACCAAAGGGCGUGGGAAAGGAGACUGCUCAGAUAAAAGGGCAGCUUGAAAUGGCCGCUGAAGACGGGCCUGCCUGGAGAAACGCUCUGCCGUAGACAUGGCCUCGACGGCAGUUUCGUCAGACAGAAGACCAAGAGAAGCAACAGAGCAUCAUCCAGCUGUUCUGAUGUGCUGACUCUGCUCAAAGCGCCUCUGGUGGGACCCACCUUGGUAGCGGGGCCCACAGCGUCUCAAGGCUGGAGGGCACUGAGGGGUCAGCAGAAAGGCCUGCAGGCUGCACAAGGUCAUCUCCACUGACUCAGAGACUCGUGGAGGGAGGGGGCAUGUCAUAUCAAUGCUUCCCUCAGACCUGGAUCCUUCCCAUUCUUCCUCUGGCGGUGUUUCUGUUCUUUCUGGGCAAUAAUUGGUUCUCAGAAGAAGAUGAGGGGCAGAAAGGCCAGGAGGAGACCCUUCCUGGAGCUGAAGCAUAUUCUGUGUCUCUCACCCUCCCACGCUUCAAAAAUCCUGGUCAGCUUAUUCUGCAAAGAGAGAUCCCCCCCUCCCCACCGCCCUCGCUUCCGCCCCCAGGCAAGCACCACAGGGCGUCCCACAGCAGGAGGACCAAGCUCAUCUACUAAGGCAGAAACAUCCUAGAACACAAAAGAGGCUGCACACCCUCCCUUAAAUCUUCGGGAGAUUUAAUCACAGUCAUUAAGAGGGCUUGUUCCCUUUGGAGUGCCUUUGCCUCAGUGAUUCAGGAGAAGAGGGGCAUAGAAUUAAUCCUUCCACCAGGCAGAUGUUCCCCACUGGCACACAGAGGGGGUGAGAUAACUACUGGCCCACACCGUUUACACAACCACUGUUCACUGACCCCUGAAGGCUGUCCGCAGUCUUCUUUCUGGAGUUUCGGAGUUUGGUUGGAAAGCUAAAUUCAAAUAUUCCUGGGAGGGAUAGCUAGAUAUUGAGACAUUUUAAUUGUUUUCUAGCUUCCUUUCCUCUUUAACAGAAGGGAAUGAGAUUCAGACGACUAAGGCAGGGGAGAAAGAAAGAAGGAAGAAGGUUCCCCCGAGUGAAGGGAAGGGAGGAAUCUAGGGAGAGGCUGGGGCACAGAAGGCAGACCCAGCCUGCCUCAUGCCUGACCUGGAGCAGCAGGUCCUUGGGUGAAGCCCCAACACUACCUGGGAUCCAGUUAGACUUGGACAUGCUAUGACUCCAUCCCAGACUCAAUCAGCCAGAAGCUCCAGGGGUGGGCCCAGAAGUCGGUUUUAACAAGCCCCAAAGGUGGCCGUGGCACUGGAGACAGCUGGCUUUCAGCCUGUCAGCUGACGGGCAUCACUUGACCAGGCUCCCUUCUCUCAUUUGCCCCUCAGUCCUUGGUUCUUUAGGAAGGAGUCAUGAGAAGCCACCGUGGGAUGUGGCUUAGGAGAGUAACCUGCAAGCUGGUAGCUCCGGCGGCAGUGGGAUUCUGACACAGACAGGGCUGCCGUUGGCCAGAGUGACAAAAAAACAACUUGGGAUUGGAGCAGGGUGAGUUGAUAAUGAAGUUCCCCGGGGGGCCUGUGAGCAUCUGAGAUGUUCAAGAAACACUGGGCUGAAUGGGAAGACAGAAACACAGAGGCAGAAGCCUGCCAAAGAGGGUUAAGUGUUGUUAACAUGUUUCGGUUUAUCCAGUAAGCAUACACAGACCAUGACUCAACGAUCCCACGUGGAGUUUAUUGGUAGACAGGGAAGGAAAAGGGGGGUGAGAGGUAACCAACCCAUGCAGAGCAGAGAGAGAGAUAAGAUAUGA